GGAGUCGGCCGGGCGAUCGCGGCUUCGUUCCUGCAGUCACCGGAAUACGGUGUUUAGCGGUGCGUAGCGGAGGAAAGUCCGGGCUCCACAGGGCAGGGUGCCAGAUAACGUCUGGGCGGCGCGAGCCGACGACCAGUGCAGCAGAGAGUAAACCGCCUAAGCGCUUCGGCGCCGGUAAGGGUGAAAGGGUGCGGUAAGAGCGCACCGCGCAACUGGCAACAGUUUGUGGCACGGUAAACUCCACCCGGAGCAAGACCAAAUAGGCCUCCAAUACGUGCGGCCCGCACGGGAGGCGGGUAGGUUGCUUGAGCCAGUGAGCGAUUGCUGGCCUAGAGGAAUGAUUGCCACUCGUAAGAGAACAGAACCCGGCUUAUGGCCCAACUCCACCU
rnacentral:RNase_P_RNA from 1 species